CUUUCCUGGAGUGUUUAAAGGAGCAUGAGGGUGGGGGAGCAUGGGUUUUAUGGAGGGGGCGUGGCAGCAAGCAUUAGGGCAGGAACAGGGCAAAUCCUCAAACACCUUGUCAUUCAUAUCCACAGAGGAAGGCGACACCCUAAGGCCUGAAGCACUUGCCCCACCCUCAAGAUCCAGUCCCCCCCAGCGGUCAGGCCAGGCCCCAGUCUUACUUGUCUGGAGCGUGCCACCGCAUUGAGGCGGGUACGGAGCCUUGGGCCCAGGCUGGGCCGCCAUCCUGCCUGGAAGAGGCAGUCGCGAGCCACCGUUCGGGCACGAGCUUGCUCAGCAGGCGGCCUCUCUGUGACGCGUCGCCAUGGAGACGCGGGUCAGUUUCUCUGCAGCUCUGCAGAGGCCUGAGGUACGCAUGGCUUAACCAAGACGGUGCUUGGACACAGUGGGAAGAGGAGCAAAAUAAGGAGAGAACUGAACAGAAAAUGCAUCAGACUUUGCCCUGCAACUUUUCACCCUGUUCCUAACUUACAGGUUAAGCAAAUGUAGCAAAGUUGUCACGGAUCUUUGCAGUAAAUAGGAUGCAAAUGAGACUACCAAAAUCGCAUUUGAUAGGGCCACGCUCCUGGCACCAACCUGAGCACUUUGUGACUAUCUAAUUCUGAACCCCUAUCCCACCAUGGAUGUUACGGUUCAUUUACAGAUGUCCUCCCAAAGCAGAAGUGCUCACAGACAGGGCUCACAGAAGGGCUCACGGAAGGGAACUGGGAGGUGAGCAAACGUUCCUCUGCUAUGCCCUUCUGACAUCCUUCCUGCCUUGGAACCAGCAGACUUUGAGCCAAAAUAAACCUCUCCUUUGUAAAUUUGCAGGUGGCAAGGACUGUUUCAGUGAUAAGAAAAUGACUGAGUCAGUGUUCUCCCCCCAUGUGAGUUAGAGUUUACACUGGACAAGGAGGGUCUUUAUCUUCAUACUGUUGACAACUACCUGGUAAUUUGACAGAGUAUGUGCUUAGUAACUCAGGGAUGGCUCCAGCUUAGGAUACAACUGUCACCUAUUCCUGUGAAAUGAAGUCAAAAGAAAGUACACGUCCUAGACUGCUGACAACAUGUUUGGAGAGCAAUUUGCAAUGCUUCCUUCUCUUAAAAGUGGCUGUACAAGGUAGUACAACAAAGAGUUUAUCAGGGAAGCAGAAUAGGAAUCCAAGUACAUAUCCCACAUAUACAUGCAGGGAGUAUCUUCAAAACUUAAAGCUAAACUACAAAUUUCUGACAGGAGAGUCCACAUGAUCAAAUGAAUAAAACACAUUUUAGACUCCCAAGUUUUAAGGCAAUGAAUGGUGGAACACAUUAGAAGGCUCAGACUUCUGUCGAUGUUAUUAAAAGGAAUGAAUCUAAAUUAGAAUUUAGUAGUGGCAUCUAAAUUAGGAAAGUAGCACUCAAUAACAGAUUAACUGUCUGGAAAUGGUAGAGCUAAUUAGCAUAGCAUAAUUUAAAAUAAAUAUAUUUUUGAAAUAGAGCAGCAAGCAUAUAGAAUUUUAAAAGUGAAUUCUUAUUAAUAGCUUACAUUUAUCUCCUGUUAGGCAAGCUGAAAUGCUGGAGUAUGCCUUGAAUGGAAUGCAAGUCAGAUCUCUUUGUGGCUUUCCCCCUGAGGGCCCUGAGGGUACAACAGAUACUUCCGUGAGCCUCAGUCUUCUUACCUGGAAAAUGUGUGUGCUGGUACCCACCUCACUGAGCUGCAGAGAUGAUAAUCUUAACAAUAAUUUACUAAUGGUAAGCCACACACAUCUAUCCCUCUAUGGCUGAUUACCAUUUUGUUUUUCAUUCUUUUUAUAAGCUUUCUAGCUCUGCUUCAGAAUGUAGUUUUGGUGGGGAUCUAUGUUGCUGUGAGCAGCAGACACGAUUCCAACCUUGAGAUUUUGGUUGGCUGUGGUGACCACUUUAAAUGAUUAAGUGUAUUUUUUACUUUUUCUUUUUUCCCUUGACAAACAAUAACUUUAUGUUAAAUCUGAGCUGUAGGAGACAGUAAAUGCAAAGCUUUGGGUAUAAUAGGAACUUGGGGACAGCAUCUUAGAAGAAGGGUCCUGAAAGGAUGCAUGAGUCACCUGGGUGAGGAGUGAAAGGUAACAUAAAGGCAGAGCUAAGGUCCAGGUAAUAGGGACAUCCCGAAGACCCUAAGGAGUGAGGAUGUACUGUUGCUAUGUGAGUGGGAACCAAAGCUGGCAGGACGGCAAGGCCAGUAGGCUGAAAAGUUGGGCUCCUCCUGACCUUUGGAGUAUUCACCAAAUGGGCCACAGCAGUGGAGUUAAGGUGCCAGCUCACAGAAUUUAAGUAAAUCCUAAUCUCUGUUCCUGCAGGACAAAAAGUCAAAUUCUGUGUUAUCCUAAAUGAAUCACACAAAAAAUCAUCUAAGUUACUAGUAUGUUUUUAAACAAUGCUUUGCUUUGGUCUGAAAUAGUUGAGAAUAGUUUACUGAAUACGUUAAAAUUAAUUGGCUGUUUUCUGUUCAAAUUAUUAUUAUAUCUUUCUGCACACCACACAAACAAUAAUGGGAUGGGUGACACCCUUUGGUGGUAAGGGUAAGGAGACAAGAAAUGUGGAUCAUGCAAAUAUUGUCUGCCAAAAAGAAUGUGUCAAGCUCCAGGCUCACAGAGAAGGUCAGGGAAAGAAAGUUGCUCAAAACAAAAGAAGUAAACACAUUCAUAAGCCAAGGAUAAGGAAGGAGCAGGGCAAGAGAGCUUUAAACUACAGGAGAGAGAAAAGGAAGGACCCCUAGGCUGGAGAGGUCCGAUGUACUAGAGAGCUGCCUCCCAGUCUGAAGGAGACACCUGUGCCUAGCACCUGUGAGAACACAAACUCAUAUGCAGUAACAGAGGUGUCUGAGUUACUAUUCUCUUUGCUCAGACAAAAUACCCCAAAUGCUCAAGUUAAAGGAGAAAAGACUGGGAGAUAUGGACUGAAGAAGCAGCUCUAGAAUUCCUUCAAUUGUACUUGAUGUCUUCUUCUCAGAAGACCAGAAUGCUGAUAGAUAUACUGCUGGUAAGGACCAGGCUCAGGAGAUUGCUCCUGGGAAGACUACAUUGGCUGUUGGGCCCCAGACAGUGUGUAUUAUGGGUUGGCAGAAAAUUUGCCUGGGUUUUGUUUUCAGAGACUUUGCCUGAGACUGGGGUUAAAAGCAGUGGACUGAUUAAUCAUGCAGAAGAAAUGGUCUAAUGUUAAGCUGACAGCAUGGCUACUGUUGGAGAACUUUUAGCCAUAUCUAUUUUGAGAAUCAAGGGCAAAGAGCCCAGAAGAAUAUUUAAAAUGUUGAAAGUUUGGUCAGAAAGGAAGCUCCAGUAAAGCUGGGCUGCAAAGAUAUAGCAGAGCAGAACAUGGUUGUUGAGAAGGAACAGAACAAUGGAAAAAUGGCCUGAGGACUUCACAAGAAAUGGAACUCUAGGAUUUAUGGAAAAGUGAAUGAAUUUGCAUUGAGAAGAGAGCCCCAGAGCAUCACGUUCUAGAAUUGUGACAGCCUAGAAAAUUUGUUCCUCAGAAUUGGGUUCAGAGUACUCAGUCAUCCAGGUACUCAACCCCUACAGCCACAAAAGAAAGAAGUCUGGCUCCUGCAUCAGCAGGCAGCAGAUUUGGUGUUACCCAUUUGGUACUUGUUUUAGGGGCAUGCAGAAUGAAAGUACUGUGGGUUCAGAAAGGCUUCCACCAAGAUUUCAGAAAGCUUGGGAGGCCAGGCAGCGUGUGUCCCUGAGAGGAUAGUGCAUGAAGUUAUGAGUACAAAGCCCAAGAUGCACAGGAAGUACCAGAAGUUUGGAAAAUCCUGGAGCAUGGAUUGUCUGAGGAAAAACUCAAAGGAGAGAGCAGAGAAUCCACAGGAGCUACAACCACCAGAAGUGCCAUAGGACUGGAGUCAUUAAAGUCUUUUGGAAUUCACAACAUGUUACAGAUUGCCUCAGAUGCUACACAAAGAACUACAGAACUUAAUGUUUGCCCUGCUGGAUUUUUGACCUCCUUUGGCCCCAUUCUUUUUUAUUCCCAUUUGUACCUUUUGGAAUGGUGGUGUUUAUCUUGUGCCUUGAGGGAAUGUUAUGGUUUAGACCUAGAUAGCCCCCAAAAGCCUCAUGUGGUCAUAGGUGGGCUUUUGGGGGAUGGUGUGUGAUGCUGAAAUCAAGGAUAUGAUACCAGUAUUGAUUCAUGGUAUGGUGCUAAGAUAAAAGCUGCCCCACCCUGGGUGUCAGUGCUACCUGCUCUAAGGCUGAGUAGUCUGUAUAUUAUAUAUAAGACAGAAAGAGGGUCAUUGUUUGUUGCUUGCUGCCUUUUGUCUGCAGUGAACUGUUUCUCCUCUGCAAUCUCCUCUCUGAUGUCGUUCUGCUUUAGAGUCAGCCCACAAUGAACUGAAACUUCUGAACUGUGAACCAAACAAAGCUUUCCUCUUUUAAUUUUGAGCAUCAGGUAUUUUGUCUCAGCAACAAAAAUAAGCAACUAAGAUACAUGUAACGAGACUCCAGGUGACUCACAGUGUUGGAGAUGGACAGACCUAGGGCCCUGAUAGCACAGUUUGAGCAUCACUGGGAAGGGAAAGGUUAUAACAGAUACAGCCUGUCAGACCUCACCUACAGCUCCUGAAUCAGAACUGCACAAAGACUUCUGAAAGAUUCCAGGGCACAGCGAGUUUGAGAAACAUUGUUCUCAGUAGUACCAGGUGCAAGGUCAUUUUCUUAAUGAAAAUGAGGAUAAUAAGAGCUGAUGAGAGAAUCAAAGGGCAAACCCAUGAAUGGUGUUUAAAAAAACCAACAAGUGACUGCUUCCAGAGGAUGUCAAAAAUACAACGAUAUGCAGAUGUUCUGAGUGCAGAUAUGAGUGAAGAUGCUCUGGUUUGAUUAUGUUUGAGCAAAAGAGUUUGUAUCAUUAUGUAGCAUAUAAUGUUUUCCUUCAAGUGUCCUCACGCUACAAAACAGAAUAUUCUUCUCCCCUUCUCUUGCUUUCUCACUGACUGAUCAGUUGCUGGGAUGGACUCUCCAGAGAAGUAGAAACAAUAGGAAAUUAUCUAUUUAACUCCUAGGUAGCAUGUCUCAUCUAUCCAGAGAUUUGUUUUGAGCAAUCAUCACCCAGUUGUGGAGGCUGGCAAGUCCAAAAUCUAUAGGGCAACCUAAGACUGGAGAAUGGAAGAGCUGAUGUCGCAGUUCAAUUCCAAUGGCCAUCUCUUGGCAGAAUUCUCCUUGCUCAGGAAAGGUCUUUUGUUCUAUUCGGGCCCUCAACUGAUCAGAUGACGUCCACCCACAUUAGAGAGGGCAACCUGCUUUACUCAAAGUUUACCAAUUUAAAUGUUAAUCUCAUCUAAAAGCAGCUUUCCAGAAACAUUCAGAAUAAUGCCUGGCCAAACAUUUGGGCAGUGUGGUUCAGCCAAGUUGACAUGUAAAAUUACAGACUGAGAUUUUCCUGAGGUCAUCUGGAUCAUUGCUGCAAUCAAGAGGUGUUAUGGACAAGUAGUUGCAGAAUAAUUACUGUCCUACUAUUGAAAAUUCCAGGAUAAGCUCUAUACUCUCUGUUUUAUUGGGACAGUCCAAUUUAAGUGGGAUAAGACCUAACUUCUGCUCACUAAACUCAUUCACUUAUUGCAUCCAAAUAAAAACCAUAGGAGCAAGCUCAGGCUAUUGAUUCCAUCAAAAUGUUAUUAAUCCCCUUUACAUGUGACCUCCUUCCUACAAUCCUGCUCUUCUGGUUUCUUGUCUUUUUCUCUUCUCUGAACUGUUAAGGAGGGAGCCAGCUAUUGGGUAAUUACCAGCGCCUUCUAUUGUUAGUUCUGCUUUCAGGUCUAUUCAAGUCAUGAAUAUCACAAGUGAACACUCAUUUUAAAUCUGUUUUAUCAGCGCUUGCCCACCCAAAUGAAUGUUCUCUUCUUCAAAGUAAUUCAUUUUAAUGAUGCUGCCAUUGCUUCAAGCAUUUGUCAGAUUCUUCAGAAACUCUCUUCAGAAACUGAUGCACACAGUCUUUUGAAUUUCUUCAGUAAGAACAUAACUUUGCUCUUUGAAGAUUGAUUGGCUAUUUAAAACAUUAAGAAUACAUUCCAGCUGAUAAUCAAGGUAGGUGACAGUUUGGGUAAUGUUGUCUUUCAGCCAAAAUCAAAUUAUGACCAUCAGGCAAUGAUAAAAAUAACUUCCUCAUUUUGUAGUUUCUGUACUUGCAUUCCUAUUGGAAUUAAUUAAUAACCCCCAAGGUCACUGACAACUUGUGGAAAUCAAUCACCUGGAUAAACCAAUAGUUACCUAUUUGCUUUAAGUCUAAAAUUUAUAGUUAAUUUCAUUUUAUUGUCAAAACUGGAUCACAGAUAUACUUGAUAUUUUUCUUUUUGAAACUUGUAUUUGGGGUGUCGGGGAUUCAUUCCAAGCCCUUGCACAUGCUAAGUACCUGGUCUCUCACUGAGCCACACUCCCAGCUCCCUCUUGUCUUAACAAGAGUGAAAGCAAGGGUCAUGUUUAACAUUAUAUGCUAGCACCCACCUUCGUGCAUAGCACAUGCUAGGCACUUAAACAUAAGUACUGAAUGAUGAAUGAAAGAACUAAAUGGACAGAUUGGUUACAUCACUGGGGGUCUCAGUCAACUUUCAGUUACUAUAACAGAGCACCUGAGGUUGGAAAAUUUCUAAAGAAAAGAGGUUUAUGUUGGUUCUAAAGUCAAAAAGUAUGGGGUCAGCAUCUUCCAGGUUCUGCUGAGGGGCACCUUCCUGCUGGUGGGGACUCUGCAGGGUACUGAGAGAGUAAAGGAUGUUAUAUGAUGAAACAGAGCAAGUUGUAUGCUUGGGCCUCUUUUCCUCUACUUAUAAAGUCACUAAUGCAAUCACCAGGGCUCUAUAACCUCAUCUAAUUUUAAUUAUCCCCCAAAGAACCAUUUCCAAAUACAAUUAACUUUGACUUUGGGGAUUAAGUUUCAAAAUCGGUCUUGGUUGGGACAAGCCAUCUGCAAACCAUACUGCUGUUCUACAGAUUUUUAUCGAACUUAAACUCUUAAAAUAGCCACAUUGGGCCAUAUACGUGUCCAGAUGGAGGCUUCUUUUAUCCAGGAACAUCUGUCCUACAUUUCAUCAAUUUAUAGAUUUUUAAAUCUCACUUCAUUAUAUUUGCAAAUAAAAUACUCUAGCACAGGGUAUAAUUUCCUUAUAAGUAGUUGGUAAACCUUUGUUGAGUGAAAAUGCAUUUGAUUCAGAAUCAACCAGAAAAAUGUUUUACUGUUGAUAGACAUCUCACAGACCUUUAGUCCAUUUCCAGAGAAUUGCUAAUAAUUGCUCAAUUCAAAUCUUCUUUGUCAAUUAUGGGAUAGUCUCCAUUUCUUUUGAAAAGCAUCCAGUAUUUCAUAUCCAUCAAAGGUUUGUUUGUACUUGUAUAAAAUUUGUUUUAUUAUUCUACUCUAUUUUUUUUACUGAACUUAAUAGUUAAUGCUUAUCCUAUUUUGUUAUAAAGUAACAUUUUUCUUCUGUUCUUUGAAAUAUCAGAGUCAAAUUUUUCUCCGAGUACUUCACAGUUCUAUUCUUCAAAAGGCUCUUCUUAAGGAGAUAGCUGUGGAAAUCACACUUUUACUGAAUUAUUAAGUUAUAAAGUAUAUACCAGCAGCAAAUCAUAAAGAAAUAAUCGCACACAUCCACAGUCACAAACUCAAUUUCAGGUUGAAUGCUAAGAAAAUUUUAAUUGUGCAAAUAUACUCCAUAAAAUUUCAAAUAUAAAUGGCAGUACCAUCAGUAAUGCUAUCAAAAUGUAUAAUAUAGGAAUGCUUUUUAAAAAGGAUAUAAAAAUGAUACUUGGGAGCCAUAAAUCUUAUUAU